UACAGAGGGGGCAAGCGUUGUUCGGAAUUACUGGGCGUAAAGGGCGCGUAGGCGGCCUGUUAAGUCGAACGUGAAAUCCCCGGGCUCAACCCGGGAACUGCGUCCGAUACUGGCAGGCUUGAAUCCGGAAGAGGGAUGCGGAAUUCCAGGCGUAGCGGUGAAAUGCGUAGAUAUCUGGAGGAACACCGGUGGCGAAGGCGGCAUCCUGGACCGGUAUUGACGCUGAUGCGCGAAAGCCAGGGGAGCAAACGGG
rnacentral:rRNA from 1 species